AUCUUAAAUCAAUUCUUUACAAAUAAACAAACUCAAACCAUAAUUGCUGAUUGGUACCCAACCAAAGAAUUCAUUACACGCAUUCAACACACCAAACCAUCAUAUGAUAAUGUCAAAAGGACAUAAUUUGUUUAGAUGGAGAUUAAAA